UACGGAAGGGGCAAGCGUUGUUCGGAAUCAUUGGGCGUAAAGGGCGCGUAGGUGGUUCUGUAUGUCUAUCGUGAAAGCAUACAGCUCAACUGUAUUUUGUCGGUAGAAACUGCAGGACUUGAGGCUGGGAGGGGCUGGUGGAAUUCCCUGUGUAGCGGUGAAAUGCGUAGAGAUGCGGAGGAACACCGAUGGCGAAGGCAGCCCCCUGGGCUAGCACUGACGCUCAGGCACGAAAGCUAGGGGAGCGAAUGGG
rnacentral:rRNA from 1 species